AGAGUUUGAUCCUGGCUCAGGAUGAACGCUAGCUACAGGCUUAACACAUGCAAGUCGAGGGGCAGCAUUUUAGUUUGCUUGCAAACUGAAGAUGGCGACCGGCGCACGGGUGAGUAACACGUAUCCAACCUACCGAUAACUCCGGAAUAGCCUUUCGAAAGAAAUAUUAAUACCGGAUAGCAUACGAAUAUCGCAUGAUAUUUUUAUUAAAGAAUUUCGGUUAUCGAUGGGGAUGCGUUCCAUUAGUUUGUUGGG
rnacentral:rRNA from 1 species